UGGAGAGCUGGAGAAGCCAAAGGAGCCUGGGACAAGCCAACAUGUGAGGAAUGAAGACCAGAGGGGAAGGCAGAGAUGAAGCCGAACUCUAUUCCCCUGCCUUUUUGGAUAAAAAUCUCCCUUGCUGCUAUGUAUGUAGUAGAUCAAAAAGUGAAAAUCCAAUUAAGAAGAUGGACACUUCUGUAAUUUGAAACAUCAUUCAAGGGAUGAGGUCCUCUCCUAUUCAUGUCUUAACUGGUCUCAGAGUACCACUCUCUACAUCAGGGAUCCCCA